UACGAGGGGAGCUAGCGUUGUUCGGAAUUACUGGGCGUAAAGGGCUCGUAGGCGGCCAACUAAGUCGGAUGUGAAAUCCCCAGGCUUAACCUGGGAACUGCAUCCGAUACUGGAUGGCUUGAAUCCGGGAGAGGGAUGCAGAAUUCCAGGUGUAGCGGUGAAAUGCGUAGAUAUCUGGAGGAAUACCGGUGGCGAAGGCGGCAUCCUGGACCGGCAUUGACGCUGAGGAGCGAAAGCUAGGGGAGCAAACGGG
rnacentral:rRNA from 1 species